GUGUUGUAUGAAAGGAGAAAAUGUUAUCACUCCCAUUGACAAGGAUGGAAGAAGCCCUCUGUCCCAACAACACACAUACAGUUAAGGCAUUGCGACCUACUUUGUGGUAUCUAACCAACGUUUUUG
ensembl:snRNA